GCCUUGAAAGAUGGAAAAAUUGAAAUAAGGAGGGAACUGGAAGUCUGAGUAUGAACGUUUAAGAAAAGAUAGGCUACAGUUUUUCAAAUUCGGAGGGGGGGAGGCUGACGACAUUCUGGCUCCAUCAAGCAGGAGCAGUGCGGAACUCCGGGACAUAAAAAACGAAAUUGAUGGUAGCGAUAGUGCCAUAGGGUAACUAAGCAUCCGUUGAGGAAGUGAUAG
rnacentral:lncRNA from 1 species